rnacentral:lncRNA from 1 species
UUGAUGACGUUCUUAUCUUCAGCAAGGCAAAAAGCUUAAAGCUUUUUGAAAAUUCAUUGAAACAUUUGGCUUUCAUAAUUUUAACAAUUAAAUGUUCUAAUUGUUACAAGAUCGUUUCUUUUGGUAGUUUCAGGGAGAUGAUAUGCCAUGGUCUUAACAUCAUUUGUGAGUAUUUUUUUAAUCCUUUUUUAUUGCAUACUAGAUCAGUAAUUAUGGAUUUUUUCUGGAUUUUGUCUUCAUAACAUUCUCGUUUCACCUUUCAAUGAAGUGAUGAAAUGUUGCAAAGUGCAAGUUUUAAUGUCACUUGGACAUUUCUAUGUCAUAUUGCCCCUAACAUUGAAAUGGAGUGUUAUCCUCUCAACACUGCAGGUAGUUUUAAAGUCAAUGUUGCCUGACCAAAAGAUAUGUAUGUCAAUGUCGAUAUUUGCUUUACAGUUGUAUGGAUACAUAAUGAUAUUGCUGCAUCAUUAUAGGAGGAUGACCCUGUUUCAUGGAUAAUCGGAAAUGGACCUCUUGACUUCUUAUAUAUCGCGUGAAAACUCACCAAUUAACUAGGUGUGAUAGUUUAUAUGGGUUCACAAUUCCACUACUCAUGCAAAAACCUCCAGGGUGCACAUGCUCAAUGGAAAGAGCACACAUUUAGCCGUAGAUUAGUGGUUUCUAAAAAUUUGGAAUUGAUUAUUGGUUUCUAAUAAUCUAGAAUUAUGUGUUGCCAAUGCCUCCCGAUGUUUUUUAUGAUUCAUAAGAUGCAUACGCGAAUAUGCCUUGGAAACCUUUGCAUUCCGGUAUGCAAUGAAUUAAUAACUUGUUAUACCCCCUCUUAACUAUUAUAAUUCCUAGUUUAUGCAACUAUAACUUAAUGGUGCUAAAGAAGUAAGAAAGUCAAUCUAUCGGUGAUUGUUUUCAAGGCAUAUAAAAUUAACUCCUACUUAUGAUAAUUACAAAGAAAGUAGGAACAAGAUAGGCUUGAUGAGGUGUGGUAUGUAGUUCUGGGUUGUUUUGCAGUAUUUCGCCAAUACGUUGAAUGAUUUGAUUAUAUAAUUAUUGAUUGACUGUCAAUUUGUGUAAUUGGACCAAGAUUGUGCCUUCAUGUGGGGACAUGGUUUUACACUUGGGGGAGGAUGGGGUUAUCAUAUCAUUUGUUUUGAAGAUGCUUCUUUUAAUCUCUCUCUUAGAUGUUCUGCACACGAGUCCAUGUGGGACAUGAAUAUGGGGUAUAAGAUAUGCAUGUAUGUAUGUUAAUGUGUGCGCCUGACUGCAUGUUGUUAUGUUGUAUUUGCGCUAAAAUUGUGCUUUUAUGUCUUGAUGUGGUUUUAAGCUUGGUGGUGGGUGAGCUUCUUAAGUCAUUACUUUUGGGAUGCCAUUUUGAAUUGUUUCUGUGUUUCUUACAUGUUCAGUAAUGGGGUCCAUGGAUGGCAAUAUGUGGUAUUAGUUAUGUAUAUAUGCAUAUUCAUGCUUGCAUGUCUACAAAUGUUUUAAGAAAGUUUUCUCUUGUUAUACUUUUUCCAAAUCAUAGUUGUAUACACCAAUAGAUGAAGCGCAUAAAAUGUUUACAAAGGAUAAAGCUAAUAAAUCAAGUUGUUUACCUGACAUAAGUUAUAUAUUCUAUAAAUUUAAGUCACUGCUUGAUGUAGCUUAAUUCAAAUUAGGUUUAGUUUAGUUAUUUUAAUUGUCGGUUUUAUUUUUGGAUUUUUUACGUAUAUAUCCUCCUAAAUAUUGAAAUUUGCAUGAAU